rnacentral:rRNA from 1 species
UUACGGUCAAAUCACGCUGAAAACACCGGUUCUCGUUCGAUCACCGAAGUUAAGCAUCGUAGAAACAGGUCAGUACUUAGAUGGGGACCGCUUGGGAACACCUGGUACUGUAAG